rnacentral:tRNA from 1 species
GGAGAGGUGCCGGAGUGGUUGAACGGGGCGGUCUCGAAAACCGCUGUGGGCGCAAGCUCACCGAGGGUUCGAAUCCCUCUCUCUCCGCCA